UUUUCACACUAGAUAAAAUUACCUGGUUCAAAAGUGGUUUUUGUUUAUUAAAUUUGGUAAUAAAUAUAUAUAAUACACAGACAGGAUAGUUUUUAUGCUGAAGUUUUUGGCCAGCUUUAGUUUGAGGACUCCUUGAUAAGCUUGCUAAACUUUCAGAGUGCCCUGAGACACUUCCAGCCAUCCCUCCUCCUGCCUUCAUUGGGGCAGACUUGCAUUGCAGUCUGACAGUAAUUUUUUUUCUGAUUGAGAAUUAUGUAAAUUCAGUACAAUGUCAGUUUUUAAAAGUCAAAGUUAGAUCAAGAGAAUAUUUCAGAGUUUUGGUUUACACAUCAAGAAACAGACACACAUACCUAGGAAAGAUUUACACAAUAGAUAAUCAUCUUAAUGUGAAAGAUAUUUGAAGUAUUAAUUUUAAUAUAUUAAAUAUGAUUUCUGUUAUAGUCUUCUGUAUGGAAUUUUGUCACUUAAGAUGAGCUGCAAAUAAAUAAUACCUUCAAUGGAUAACCUUGCCUCCUACUUCAUUAA
rnacentral:lncRNA from 10 species